CAAACCCCAUUGGUUAAGGGUUUGUAAUGGGGGUCCCACUACAUAGGCACAAUUGAUUAAACCAUUGGCCAUUGGAGGCUGACUGGUGAACUCAAUCUCCAGUCCUCUCCCCUGCUUGUAGAUCAGGGGUUGCAGCUCAAAGUUCCAACUCCCUAAUCAUGGCUUAGUCUUUCUGGUGAUCAAUCUCCAUCCUGAAAUGAUCUAGCAGGCCCUUUAAGAGUCAUCACAUUUGCAUACAAAAUAUGCAUCAUACUGGACACUUGGAACACUUUAGGAGUUCCAAGCCAGGAACUUGGGACAGAGACCAAAUCUUUAUUUUUUUCAUACCGUAUCUAUUCACUUGGAGCUGUAUAUCAGGAUUAUUUCCACUUUGAGGUUUUUCAGGGGGUUUUGGUUUUGGUGUUUUUUUUUCUUUUUUUUUUCUUUUUUUGGUUGUUUUCUGGGAUAUUUAAAACCACUUCUGCAUUUUAACACAGUUACUUCAGUUAAUAUCAGAUUCUGUAAUCCAGAUAUCCAUAUGAAUUCUCUGGAUACCAAGGAUUUGCAAAUGUCACAUGAUGCUAAAAAGGGACAAAAUGUGGGAUAGAACGUGGAUGAGAGCUCCCUGUAUACUAUGCGCAGGACAACCUUCUGACAUGCAGGCUGUGUGGGACCAGCGUCAGCUAGAACAAUCAAUAUUUGUACAUCUUACUUUCUUUGGAUGAUCGAGUCAGUGGAGAUUCUCGAGGUUGAGUGACUCAUUCACCCAUUCAUCCCACAGGCAUGUGCUAGGAGCCUCCUGAGUUGCAGAUGCUGGGAACAGGCUGAAGCCACGAGGCGCGGUCCUCGCCUUUGAGAAGGGCAAGUGCAUGGUGCAGCCAUCAGUCCAAGGGACAGACAGUCCCAGUGUCCGUGUAAGUACCACUGGCUGAUGACGAGUGCUGGAACCUGUACAAGCGGGCACCUACAUCAGUCAUGAGUCAUGGGAAAAGAGUCGAAGAUAAACUUCCAGGAGGAGAUGAGGUUCUGGCUGAAGUUAUGAUAUCUGUCAUGGCAAUUAAGAUUCAGGAAACUACAAGGAAUGCAGUGAAACCAGAGGGAAGUUUCCUGGGACUGAGUUGGGCGGAAGAGAAGUUAGCAAGAGCCGAGGCUAAGGAGUUUCGACCUUACCCAGAAGAUCUGGAGGCCAGAAGUCUGAAUCAAAGUGCUCCUUCUGAAACUGCAGAGGAGAAUGCUCCCUAGUCUGCUCCAGCUUCUGGUGGUGCUCGGCAAUCCUCAUCUUUCCUCGGCUUGGAGAUGGCAACCUCUGCCUCCAACAUCUGCCAGCAUCACUCCAACAUCUGCCUUUGUGGUCCCCUCGUGUGCCUGUGUCUCUCCUCCUCUUAUAAGCAUCCCAGUCAUUAUUGGAGGAAGGGCCACCUUCUUCCAAUACAAUCUCACCUAAACUAAA